UACGGAGGGGGCUAGCGUUGUUCGGAUUUACUGGGCGUAAAGCGCACGUAGGCGGACGUUUAAGUCAGGGGUGAAAGGCCUGGGCUCAACGCGGGAACUGCCUUUGAUACUGGGAGUCUUGAAUCCGGGAGAGGUAAGCGGAAUUCCAAGUGUAGAGGUGAAAUUCGUAGAUAUGUGGAAGAACACCAGUGGCGAAGGCGGCUUACUGGACCGGUAUUGACGCUGAUGUGCCAAAGCGUGGCGAGCGAACAGG
rnacentral:rRNA from 1 species